CUGGAGAGUACUUAGCUGAGGAGUCUAUGUAUAUUAAUUCUUAUAGAGGAGGAAGCACAACCUGCCCCGGAGUUUAUUGAACCAGCUGAAGUGGAUCAUCUAAUUUCCAGGGUCUGCAAGGUUUUGAGCUUAAAAGAAACUAAUAAGGAGGAACCAUCCACUUCCAGCUAUUUUUUCUCAGAUCUCAGAAGGAAGAGGUCUUCAUUUCCAAUUCAUGACACCAUUAAAGACUUAACCACAGAUAAAUUCAGAAAAUAAAAUUUUCUGUGAGGGGAAGGUUUUCUCAUCUCUAUCCUAUAGGCUGUAAGGAC